CNAGNGGAGCUAUAAUGCAGUCGUGCGGACCUUUUAAAGCUUGCUUUUAAAAGGUUAGCGGCGGACGGGUGAGUAACACGUGGGCAACCUGCCUGUAAGAUCGGGAUAACGCCGGGAAACCGGGGCUAAUACCGGAUAGUUUUUUCCUCCGCAUGGAGGAAAAAGGAAAGACGGCUUUUGCUGUCACUUACAGAUGGGCCCGCGGCGCAUUAGCUAGUUGGUGGGGUAACGGCUCACCAAGGCAACGAUGCGUAGCCGACCUGAGAGGGUGAUCGGCCACAUUGGGACUGAGACACGGCCCAAACUCCUACGGGAGGCAGCAGUAGGGAAUCUUCCGCAAUGGACGAAAGUCUGACGGAGCAACGCCGCGUGAGUGAAGAAGGCCUUCGGGUCGUAAAACUCUGUUGCCGGGGAAGAACAAGUGCCGUUCGAACAGGGCGGCGCCUUGACGGUACCCGGCCAGAAAGCCACGGCUAACUACGUAACAGCAG
rnacentral:rRNA from 2 species